CGCAACUCCGACUAUAACCCCGACCGGCGUGCUCGACGGCGAGUUCCCUAUGGGCAGCGGAGGGAUGGCAUACGGAGGGGGGUUAUACUCAGGCGGAGGCGGAGGGGGGUCAGACUGAGGCGGAGGCGGAGGGGGGUUAUACUCAGGCGGAGGCAGAGGGGGGUCAGACUGAGGCGGAGACGGAGUGGGGUCCGAUGGAGGGGGUCAGACUGAGGCGGAGACGGAGGGGGGUCCGAUGGAGGGGGGUCAGACUGAGGCGGAGACGGAGGGGGGUCCGAUGGAGUGGGGUCAGACUGAGGCGGAGACGGAGGGGGGUCCGAUGGAGUGGGGUCAGACUGAGGCGGAGACGGAGGGGGGUCCGAUGGAGGGGGUCAGACUGAGGCGGAGACGGAGGGGGGUCCGAUGGAGGGGGGUCAGACUGAGGCGGAGACGGAGGGGGGUCCGAUGGAGUGGGGUCAGACUGAGGCGGAGACGGAGGGGGUCCGAUGGAGUGGGGUCAGACUGAGGCGGAGACGGCGGGGGGUCCGAUGGAGUGGGUUCAGACUGAGGCGGAGACGGAGGGGGGUCCGAUGGAGUGGGUUCAGCCUCAGGCGCAGACGGAGGGGGGUCCGAUGGAGUGGGUUCACUAGCCUCAGGCGGAGACGGAGGGGGGUCAGAAUCAGUCAUUGUAGCAGUAGCGGUGGCGUGGUCCG
rnacentral:lncRNA from 1 species